UUGUUGCCAUCUGGUGUCUAAGCAAAUUAAGAUGAAAGAGGAAGCCAGUGAACAAGAAUUAGAAAACCUAAAGACUUUCCUGUCUCAGAAGAGGCUCUGGCUCCACCAGAUCACCAACCAGUUCUGAGGAUGAACCUCCACAUCGUCUUCCUGGUGGAAGGCUCUUUGUUUUUUUACACUGAGCAGCUGGCCACAUUUUUAACAGCAAAAACUGGGCCCUGUGAUGGACUGGUGACCUGUCCAGGGUGAACCCCGCCUCUCAUCUGAUGACUGCUAGAGACGGUCACCACCAGCCCCCCUCACCACCAUUCAAGGAUCAACGUGUUCAGAUCAUGGACGGAAAAUUGUAAGGCAAAGAAGACCCCCAAUCAUGAUCAGUUGUGAUGAAGAAACAUACAUAGUGAGUCCACAACAUCUUAAAAUUGUUUCCGUAAAGUGCAGUGGUCCAGUGAAUGGGAAUGUUCUGCUGAUCCUCACUGUUCUUAGAAAGGAGAAAUGUCAGUUUGUCUGGAGUAAUACUGGAAUACUGUGACAUUAAAUUAAAACAAUACUCCUUGGUGAAUCAUUUUCACAUUUCCUCUAAA